rnacentral:lncRNA from 1 species
CUAGGAUUACAGACAUGUGCCACUGAGCCCAGCUCAUGUGAGUGUUCUGAGGAAUGAAUGACUGCAGUAGAGGACACCAGUUUAAGGAACCAGGGAAGAGCUACGUGGCCUGUAUAUAUUGAAAAUCUGAGGCCAGGCCCAAGAUGGGAGAAGUAGGUACCAAACAGAUCUGAAAGGAGUAGAAGAAAUUGAGCUCCAGCGUGACUGGGCUCCCUGAGCUGCUGUUAGACCAGGACGCAAGAAAAGACCAGUGACUCCAAUUAAAAUCAAAUUAAAGCAAGCUCAUUAUUUUGACCGGCCGGGCUGCCUCUCCCACCCAAAACUGUGGGAAUCAAGACAGCAACAGCAGUUUUCCUGCAGCCCAGCUUUAUAGCCCAGAAAGUUACACAAAGGGGGGUUACAGAUAACAGAACUCUGACAAGCAUCACACGAAUGGUAGUUUACAUUUUUGCUGGCCCCAACAUCAGAAUUUAUGAGGACCAUUAGAGCCUCAGAGAGGGUCGUUGUCUGGCCAGGGAAAGCCAAUAUUUAUGAGGUGUCUCUAAGUUUCAGAGAGGGCUGCUAUCUGGUCAGAGAGCCAGGCAGGGGUGAGUUCAAGGCCCGGGCAGGCAUUCCAAGCAGGUUCAGAAUUUGCAGUAAUUUACAGCAAAGCCGAAAUUAGCUUUUCAUGGCUUUGUGGCGAGAUGGCUCCCAUUUUUAAGAAAAGAUCAGGUUGGGUCUAUCAUUCCCCCCUUUUCUUAUGUGUCCCUUUCAAAUAUUUGAUAGGGUAGGAGAAGAGCACUGAGGGAAUUUUAAUCCCUCAGGCAACAGUCUCCAACUUUUUAGAACUCACCCAAAACCUGUCUCCCUGAUUUGAUCUGACUUAAUUAAUUACUUAUAUUGACAGUCUAUUUUUGGC